UACGUAGGGUGCAAGCGUUGUCCGGAAUUACUGGGCGUAAAGGGCUCGUAGGCGGCCAACUAAGUCAGACGUGAAAUCCCUCAGCUUAACUGGGGAACUGCGUCUGAUACUGGAUGGCUUGGAUUCGGGAGAGGAAUGCGGAAUUCCAGGUGUAGCGGUGAAAUGCGUAGAUAUCUGGAGGAACACCGGUGGCGAAGGCGGCAUUCUGGACCGACAUUGACGCUGGGGAGCGAAAGCCAGGGGAGCAAACGGG
rnacentral:rRNA from 1 species